AGUGAACGAUGGCGGCGUGCCUAAUACAUGCAAGUCGAACGAAGUGGCGCACGGGUGAGUAAUAUAUAGUUAAUCUGCCCUACACCGAGGAACAACAGUUGGAAACGACUGCUAAUACCUCAUAUUGUAGGAUGAGACUAUAUCGUAUCAGCUAGUUGGUACGGUAAUGGCUAACCAAGGCUAUGACGCGUAACUGGUCUGAGAGGAUGAUCAGGCACAUUGGAACUGAGACUCGGGCCAAACUGCUACGGGAGGCGGCAGUAAGGAAUAUUGCGCAAUGGGGGGAACCCUGACGCAGCAACGCCGCGUGGAGAAUGGCACUUUUCGGAGCGUAAACACCUUUUAUAAGGAAAGCGGUACCUGAUGAAUAAGCACCGGCUAACUCCGUGCAAGCAGCCGCGGUAAUAC
rnacentral:rRNA from 1 species